rnacentral:rRNA from 1 species
GAAUAUUGCACAAUGGGCGCAAGCCUGAUGCAGCAACGCCGCGUGCCCGAUGAAGGCCUUCGGGUUGUAAAGGGCUUUUCUGGAGGAAGAGCAAGGACGGUACUCCAGGAAGAAGGAUCGGCUAACUACGUGCCAGCAGCCGCGGUAAAACGUAGGAUCCGAGCGUUAUCCGAAUUCACUGGGCGUAAAGCGCGUGCAGGCGGCGAGGUAAGUUGGGUGUGAAAUCUCCCGGCUCAACUGGGAGAGGCCGCUCAAAACUGCCUGGCUCGAGGACGGUAGAGGAAGGUGGAAUUCCCGGUGUAGUGGUGAAAUGCGUAGAUAUCGGGAGGAACACCCGUGGCGAAAGCGGCCUUCUGGACCGUACCUGACGCUCAGACGCGAAAGCUAGGGGAGCAAACGG